AGCAGCCGCGGUAAUUCCAGCUCCAAUAGCGUAUAUUAAAGUUGUUGCAGUUAAAAAGCUCGUAGUUGAAUUUCGGGGUUAGUAAGUUGGUCGUGCCACUGGUAUGUACUGGCUUUACUGAUUCCUCCUUCUUGUAGAACCGUAAUGCCAUUAAGUUGGUGUUGCGGGGAAACUGGACUGUUACUUUGAAAAAAUUAGAGUGUUUAAAGCAAGCUAACGCUUGAAUACAUUAGCAUGGAAUAAUGAAAUAGGACGUUCGAUCCUAUUUCGUUGGUUUCUAGGAUUGACGUAAUGAUUAAUAGGGAUAGUUGGGGGCAUUAGUAUUCAAUUGUCAGAGGUGAAAUUCUUGGAUUUAUUGCAGACUAACUACUGCGAAAGCAUUUGCCAAGGAUGUUUUCAUUAAUCAAGAACGAAAGUUAGGGGAUCGAAGACGAUCAGAUACCGUCGUAGUCUUAACCAUAAACUAUGCCGACUAGGGAUCGGAUGAUGUUAAUUUUUUAAUGACUCAUUCGGCGCCUUA
rnacentral:rRNA from 1 species